rnacentral:rRNA from 1 species
UACGGAGGGUGCAAGCGUUAUCCGGAUUUACUGGGCUUAAAGGGCGCGUAGGUGGGUCUGUAAGUCAGUGGUGAAAUCUCCGAGCUUAACUCGGAAACUGCCAUUGAUACUAUAGAUCUUGAAUUAUCUGGAGGUAAGCGGAAUAUGUCAUGUAGCGGUGAAAUGCUUAGAUAUGACAUAGAACACCAAUUGCGAAGGCAGCUUACUGCGGAUAUAUUGACACUGAGGCACGAAAGCGUGGGGAGCAAACAGG